rnacentral:rRNA from 1 species
AGGACGAACGCUGGCGGCGUGCUUAACACAUGCAAGUCGAGCGGAAAGGCCCUUCGGGGUACUCGAGCGGCGAACGGGUGAGUAACACGUGAGCAACCUGCCCCUGGCUCUGGGAUAGCCUUCGGAAACGGGGAUUAAUACCGGAUAUUCACUGCUUCCUGCAUGGGGGGUGGUGGAAAGUUUUUCGGCUGGGGUGGGGCUCGCGGCCUAUCAGCUUGUUGGGGGGUGACGGCCCACCAAGGCGACGACGGGUAGCCGGCCUGAGAGGGCGACCGGCCACACUGGGACUGAGACACGGCCCAGACUCCUACGGGAGGCAGCAGUGGGGAAUAUUGCGCAAUGGGCGGAAGCCUGACGCAGCGACGCCGCGUGCGGGAUGAAGGCCUUCGGGUUGUAAACCGCUUUCACCAGGGACGAAGCGAGAGUGACGGUACCUGGGGAAGAAGCGCCGGCUAACUACGCGCCAGUAGCCGC